UACAGAGGUGGCAAGCGUUGUUCGGAAUUACUGGGCGUAAAGAGCGCGCAGGCGGUCGUUCAAGUCGCGUGUGAAAGCCCCCCGGCUCAACUGGGGAGGGUCACGCGAUACUGAUCGACUCGAAGGCAGGAGAGGGUAGUGGAAUUCCCGGUGUAGUGGUGAAAUGCGUAGAUAUCGGGAGGAACACCAGUGGCGAAGGCGACUACCUGGCCUGUUCUUGACGCUGAGGCGCGAAAGCUAGGGGAGCAAACGGG
rnacentral:rRNA from 1 species